AUAUUAUUAAGCGGAGGAAAAGAAACUAACAAGGAUUCCCCUAGUAACGGCGAGUGAAGCGGGAAUAGCUCAAAGUUAAAAUCGGGGUUCUGAGAGGAGCUUCCGAAUUGUAAUCUAGAGACAUUAUGUCAGUUUCGACCCGGGUAUAAAUCUUUUGAAACAAGGUGUCAUAGAGGGUGAGAAUCCCGUCUUUGACCCGGAGUUCGGGACGUACGACUGGUGUUCCAAGAGUCGAAUAGCUUGGGAAUGCUGUUCUAAAUGGGUGGUAAAUUUCAUCUAAAGCUAAAUAUCGACAAGAGACCGAUAGCGCACAAGUA
rnacentral:rRNA from 1 species